GAUGAACGCUGGCUACAGGCUUAACACAUGCAAGUCGAGGGGAAACGACGGGGAAGCUUGCUUCCCCGGGCGUCGACCGGCGCACGGGUGAGUAACGCGUAUCCAACCUGCCUCUGACUGAGGGAUAACCCGUCGAAAGUCGGCCUAAUACCUCAUGGCAUCGUCUGCGGGCAUCCAACGACGAUUAAAGAUUUCAUCGGUCAGGGAUGGGGAUGCGUCUGAUUAGCUUGUUGGCGGGGUAACGGCCCACCAAGGCUACGAUCAGUAGGGGUUCUGAGAGGAAGGUCCCCCACAUUGGAACUGAGACACGGUCCAAACUCCUACGGGAGGCAGCAGUGAGGAAUAUUGGUCAAUGGGCGAGAGCCUGAACCAGCCAAGUAGCGUGCAGGAUGACGGCCCUAUGGGUUGUAAACUGCUUUUAUGCGGGGAUAAAGUGAGGGACGUGUCCUUCAUUGCAGGUACCGCAUGAAUAAGGACCGGCUAAUUCCGUGCCAGCAGCCGCGGUAAUACGGAAGGUCCUGGCGUUAUCCGGAUUUAUUGGGUUUAAAGGGAGCGUAGGCCGUGGAUUAAGCGUGUUGUGAAAUGCAGGUGCUCAACGUCUGCACUGCAGCGCGAACUGGUCCACUUGAGUGUGCGCAACGCAGGCGGAAUUCGUCGUGUAGCGGUGAAAUGCUUAGAUAUGACGAAGAACUCCGAUUGCGAAGGCAGCCUGCGGGAGCACAACUGACGCUGAAGCUCGAAAGUGCGGGUAUCGAACAGG
rnacentral:rRNA from 1 species